GAUGAACGCUGGCGGCGUGCUUAACACAUGCAAGUCGAACGGGAAUUCUUUUAUUGAAACUUCGGUCGAUUUAAUUUAAUUCUAUUGGCGGACGGUUGAGUAACGCGUGGGUAACCUGCCUUAUACAGGGGGAUAACAGUCAGAAAUGGCUGCUAAUACCGCAUAAGCUCACACAGCUGCAUGGCUCAGUUUUAAAAACUCCGGUGGUAUAAUAUGGACCCGCGUUGUUUUAGCUGGUUGGUGGGGUAACUGCCCACCAAGGCGACGAUCCAUAGACGGCAUGAGAGGGAGAACGGAGACAUUGGGACAGAGACACGGCCGAGAAUCCUACGGAAGGCAGCAGUGGGGAAUAUUGCAAAAUGGGGGAAAACAUGAUGGAGCGACGACGCGUGAAGGAAGAAGUAGCUGGGAAUGUAAAGUUCUAUCAGCAGGGAAGAUAGUGACGGUACCUGACGAAGAAGCCCCGGCUAACUACGUG
rnacentral:rRNA from 1 species